rnacentral:lncRNA from 1 species
GAAUGGGUAAACCAGAAGCUUAAUCGGGAAGGAGAAAGCCAAGUUGCGAAUAACAUCAGUUGUGUUGUGGAGAGAAUAGAAUCCAUGGUUGACCUCCGCGUUGUCUAUUACAUCACUUGAGGACAAGCAACGAGAUAAGUUUGGGGUUGUGAUCGGUCACCAUUUACAUUUAGUUUUCAUCAUCUAUCCAGCAUUGAAUCUUCAUGAAUGGGUAACAUUUUGC